GUUCGUGACAAAUCAAUAGAUGUUUUUACAAAAUGGCUUAUUUUAAAACAAAACAUUGCUGUAGCACUGAUUAAAUUAGAUUUUGAAAAAUUGCAUCCAAAACGAAACACACUAUUAUUUUCCAAGUGGACGAUAUUUGACACCUUUAUAAAAAAUAUAUACCAUAGAGAUAUAAAAGAUAAAAAAUCUCGCACAUUUUUCAAUGUAUUACAGUCAUCUAACUUAAAUGAAGAUUCAAAAAAUUACCUCUUAAUUAUAAAUCUGAAUGCCAUACUUAUUCCUGCUAUAAUUAAAACUGAACAAGACAUUUACAGACCAUCAAUACUAGAUGGCCAAGAAA